rnacentral:rRNA from 1 species
GUUGAACGCUGGCGGCGGGCCUAACACAUGCAGGUCGAGCGACUGACUGGAACUUGCUUCUUGUGUCAUUGGCGGACGGGGGGGUAAUACCUAGGGAUCUACCUAGUUGUGAGGGAUGACGUACGGAGGCAGACCCUAAUACCGCAUACAUACUGAUUUAGACCGUGGGGGUUCUUCGGACCUCGCGCUAUCACAUGCACCUAUGUCGGAUUAGCUAGUUGGUGGGGUAAAGGCUUACCAAGGCGACGAUCCGUAACUGGUCUGAGAGGAUGAUCAGUCACACUGGAACUGAGACACGGUCCAGACUCCUACGGGAGGCAGCAGUGGGGAAUAUUGGACAAUGGGCGAAAGCCUGACGGAGCCACGCCGCGUGUGUGAAGAAGGUCUUCGGAUCGUAAAACUCUGUUAGUUGGGAGGAACAGAAGUAUGUUAAUACGUGGAUGUUUUGACGUUACCUACACAAAAAGCAACGGCUAACUUCGUG